rnacentral:lncRNA from 1 species
GUUUUUAUUUAUAAUACUUUCAGUUAUCUUAGAGAGGGAGACAUUUUUACAUCUGGCUAUGGACUGAAGUUUUAUCUAAAUAAUGAGCAUCUUGUUCUCACUUAUUUGUCCAAGUAAUGUAGUGUCUGUGGUCAAACAGGGAUGUACUUCAGAUGACAGAUGCUCACUUAGCAACUCCUUUACCCCCUCUGAGACAGCAUGACAGGGGAGCAAAUACUAUGAAAAACUACAUGGGUUGAGAUAAACAUGUGGAGAUCACUCACCAGUUACCAUCAACAGGUAAAACAGAUUUGACUUGUGGAAAAUUAACUUCAUCGAUUGCCAAUUAAAAUAGACAAGAAUAAUGAGAAAUAAGAAGUGAGAGCAUCUUCUCCCAGGCCCCUGCAGCCCUCUGCACAGAGCUGGAACACCUGCAUACAGAUGUACAGUGUGCAACUCAGGGGCUCUUCAGAUGGAACCAGGCAAUGCUUGUGGAAGUUCAGAAAAAGCUGCUAAAAUGAGGGACCUGUGGAAUUUCCAUCUGGAAACAGUCAUUUAUCAACAGAAAAUGGCAGAAUGGAUAGAACAGGGGAGGACUGUACCACAUACUAAGAUGUGUGAAGAAUAUAUCCUUAAUUUUUCACGUCUCACCUUGGUGUCAAGGUGUUCAUUAUAUUCAGCUACCUUGGAAAUAGAAUGAAGCAAUUCAGUAAAUAGAAUGAAGCAAUUCAGUAAAUAGAAAGCAUACUGAUAGGUGCAGAAAGGUAGAAACAUAUCAUUUUGAUUCAUACGUUAGAAUGUAGUGGACACAUGAAACUUCUGUCCCUUCAAAUUAGUGUUUGUGUUGCUGUGUAACCUGUGUCACUAAGCAAGUGCACCACUGCAGUUUCUGUCAUGGAUAGAAGAAGGCUUUUUUGAUCAUAGUUCUCUACAGUAAAAACAGGAAACACUUAGAAAUGUAA